AACUGAAUGAUGAAUGUCAUCUAUAAGGUCUUCAAAUGGACACAGAAAAUUUAACCUCUUCCAGGCCACCUUUUCCUAACAAUAUUUUCGUGCUGCUGGUUUGUACUGAACUCCCAUUACGACGGUUUGAAGCGACGCAUCUUAAAGCGCCUUCUUGUUUUUCCCUGCCAUAUGAGAAUUGUGUGCUAGAAAGCUGCCUUUAAAUAACAUUUUAAUAUGUUUUUUAUGAAAACGGUAGUAAGCAAUCAUUAUUUAUAAUUCAAUACAUUAUACAAAUGAUAUUAAAUAUUCAACAGUUCUUGUUUUUAAUUCUGGAACCCCAGAGGUAUUCAUAAACAGGUGUCAAGAAUUAAAUACUCCUAAAUGAAGAAUGUGAGUCUACUAACUUCUGUAGCAAACAAAACCCCUUCACUCUUGUAUUUGCUGAGUCAUGGAGCAAAGCAACUGAGGUAACAAUAUUUGCCAAGUGACUGUAUUUGGCUGUACAGUUAACGGUCAAUUAAUAUUUCAGGUAUAGGGCUUUUAUUUUAUUUUAUUUUACAAACUUAUUUUAUUUUACAAACUUUAUUUUAUGCAGUCAUCCACAUGGCACCAACGCAAACUUGGAAAAUCUUCAACAUUACAGUUUCAGCUCACAUCCGCAAGGUAUACUGGAGAGAUAAUUUAUCCAUAGCGACUGCUGUGAUGGAGACAGAAGACAGAUUGCCAUUAGAUAGCCAUUCAUAAGCCAUAUAAAUUGAGGCCUUUUGGAGUCAAAUCCACCUUUCUUUCUUAUUCCUCUUAUCCCCCUCCGAUAACUGUACAUCCCAAGUAUAAAGGUAAAGGACCCUUGACCGUUAGGUCCAGUCGUGACCGACUCUGGGGUUGCGGCGCUCAUCUUGCUUUAUUGGCCAAGGGAGGCGGCGUACAGCUUCCAGGUCAUGUGGCCAGCAGGACUAAGCUGCUUCUGGCGAACCAGAGCAGCACAUGGAAACACCGUUUACCUUGCCGCUGGAGCGGUACCUAUUUAUCUACUUGCACUUAGUGUUUUCGAACUGCUAGGUUGGCAGGAGCCGGGACCGAGCGACGGGAGCUCACCCCGCCACAGGGAUUCGAACCGCCGACCUUCUGAUCGGCAAGUCCUAGGCUCUGUGGUUUAACCCACAGUGCCACCUGCGUCCCACAUCCCAAGUAUACUUCAGUCAAAUUUGGAGAGAGGCUGGCUCAUUUCUCUGCAUUGCUGCAGCUGGUGUUGAGUUGAAAAUUCCCCUAACACAGAGCCCUCAAAAUGUUGCUGGGUACUCUAACAGCAUGGCCAGUGGUCAGGAAUGAUGGGAGUUGUAGUUUGGCAACAUUUGGAAGGCCACAGAUUCUCCACCCAUGCCCUAAGAGCUUUUCACCCAACCUUUGAGGUGGACAUGCUGCCCCAAGCUCACGUCCCCCCCCCCGUCUCAGUUUUGGGGUGGCAGGGCUUGUCCCCCUGGCAGCAGCGAUGCUACUCUGGCAGAAGGGUGGCAUCACUCCUCCACCCAACAAGAGAUGGUCAGUGAUGGGGUAGCUCUGUUCCCUGGUCAGGGGAAAGUAGAGCUGGAGGAAACUUAGGGCCCAAUCUUCACAGCUACGUUCUUUGGCUGUGAAAGUGAGGAAGGAGGCAAUUUCCGCAAUUUUCAUGAGUGGGCUGGAAAACCAUCACAAUUUUUGAGGUGGUUUCUGAAAGCAGAGAGGCUUGUCUCCCUUUUGGGGGGGGGGGGAGGAAGAAGACUUCUUGUUCUGCAGCAGGUGGCUGUGGUACUCCCAUUUCUCCACCACAAUACCUACGGAAGUAUUUUCUCUUGCCCCCAAAGUUCGCUGCCUUUCCUAGCUCUUUCCAAAAAGCCAGCUGGAACUUGCAGCGCACAGACCUGUGGGCUGGAGAGAGGACAACCAGAUGUCUGAGGUGUAGCUGCCACCUUUUCGUCCCAACCCUGCCACCUUGGAAAGUCACCAAAAUUCUCCCACCCACGUUUUACUGACCUCAAAUGGGGCAAUGGAAUGUGCGGCAUUUGGUUAAUCCUUACAUCCAGACUACAAAUGAUGCAGAAGAUGUGUGAUUCAUAGGACACUUGUUUCUGCAGAACUUCAACAAAUUUUAUUUUUCAUUUUCUUGUCAUGGAGGAGAUGGGUCUGUUCUAUAUUUGCCAGAUGUUUUUGGCCAUGUUUGCAGAAAGUUAAUAUCUAUAUGUCACUUUAAAACCUCAGUUCUCCCAGGAGUUCACUGGAAUCUGUACAAAGCAGCAGGCCGUGGCUGUGUAUGCACAGCUGUUUACUCCAACUCCAUCCCAGUGCUGGUGUUUGAAGCUGAAGGCACAUGGCUUUAGCCACAAUCCACCUGUAUCCUGUCGUUUCUUGAGAAAUGCUGCUAAUUGAUGGGUUUCCUCUCAAACCAGCUUCCAUCUGAGUCAAAAACGUAAGCUAUGGUUAUGCUAAGGUAGGUACAUUUUCGAUGAUCAUUGUGCAUGUUCAGAUUUCGACUUCCUUGAGUAGGAAUUUGGGGAGGGGUGCAGGUGUGAGGAAGCAAAUCAGGUGUUGCGUACAGCAACAUAAAUCUGGGGAGAAACGGCUUUGCUGUGUUUUCAGCUGUCAAUGUGUACAUGCCCUGUACAUUUAAAGCAAAUUUGAGAGCUCAUUCUUUCCGGCAAAGAAAUCUGGGCACUGCAGUUUAUCCCUCGCAGAGUUAUGAUUCCCAGCAACCCUUAACAAACCGCAGUGCCCAGAAUUCAUUGGGGGUGUGUGUGUGAAUGUGCUUCAAAAGGUCUUUAAGGAUACAGUGUGUGUCAGUGCUGACAUGAUAUUGAAAAAGUCUUAACUCUCCACUUGGACCCAGAUGCUGAUUAAAUUACUGUAAAUAUCCGAGUAAUUACACACAUGCACACAGGCACACACACCCCUACUACAUGUCAGUCUGGCCAAUAUUUUGGUAAGAAUGGUAGAGUACAUUAUUUGAAUGCCUAAACCUGUCUAUCAGAGCUAUGAUCCUUGAGAUUGCAAUUGCUUGUCAGUGAAUUUGUGGGCCAGUGGUCUGAUUCAGAACAAGAUGGCUUCAUAUGCUCAUCUGGAUAAACCUUUCUUGCAAUGUGAGUGCAGAACCCAUUAAUGGUAGCCAUUACAUCAAAUGCCACUAUUAGUUCACCCCGCCAUCUCUAGCCUGAAUUCACUUUUACAACAGCAAGAAACCGCCUUGUUUUUUUCUAGCAAGACCAUUCAGAUUCCUAACAUUACAUUUGUGUAUGUGGCACUUCAUAAUCCCCUCUGCUAUUGACUGAUAUAAGUAGCACAGUAUUCUACCACUGAAAUGCUAGUGCUAAAACAAGUGAUUAUAAAAGGUUUCCUUUUUAAAAAACAUUUUUUAUUUAAUCAUCUGUUUAUUUCUUUCAGAGAUAUCUUUCAGCCCGCAGAUCUCAGGUGCCUGCCGGAAGAGUCAAACGAGGUUGUGUCUUGGGGGUGUCCUUGAAGAAAGUACGGGGAAGGCUGCUCUCACAGGAAAUUCAUCACCCAAUUCAACAACUUAUUAUUGGAGGCAGCUGUGAUUGAACCCCUACAAGGAGGGAUGUCAGAACAGAACUGAACUGAAGGGUUCAGCCAGCUUGCUUAUAUAGAGCUCCAGUACAACGUAACUGUAACAACUUUCUGUAACUAUCCAAUCACUGAAUGUCACUUUUGAUCCCUUAUUUGCAUAUGUGGACCUGAACUAUCUUCUACAGUAUCCCUCUGCUGGCCCAGGUCUGCAUGUGCCAUCACUCUGAAUGAUAUAGGACACACACCAUGGUCACUUACUGCUGAUUUUGUUGUCUCCUUGGAUGAACCAAUACAAGUUCCAGUUUCUGGCCACUGCUGUCUACGCCUCUUGCAGUCUGCUUGCGGUGCAUGUAUUCCCUGCUGGAUUCCAAACCUGGUGGUCUUCAUCUAAAUCUUCGCUUAAUUAUUGUCAUCCGAAACCUCUACUGCUGGACUUAAGGGGAUAAGAAAAAAGACAUUUUGAGACUGCUGCUGGAAUUUUGACUGCCUUUAUACCAGCUGUUCCAAGUUGAAGUUCUUCCAGUGGUGGGAAAGGAUACUGCGCUGUUCCCUUCUGGGUAUCUUAAUGGCAUCAGAAACAAAGCAGUUGACUCUGAGCAUUUGUGCUGAAGAACGGAGCUCUUCAUUGUUGAACACUCGUCGAAUGGAACUCGUCUGGAUUGAAACUGAUGAUUCUUUUGGCAGGUCUUAAUGGGUAGACCUUGGAGUCAUGAAGAACAUGUUUAUAUGUUCCAACUAUUCCAUCUCGGACACAUCUGAAUUGCCAUCUUGGCAAGAUGCCAUCCUGGCUUAGCAUUCUGUUUCUCAUAGAAGCAAGCUGGAUACCUCUAAAAAGCCCAUAAUCAUGAUGGCCUCCCCAUGCUGUGAACUAUGGCUUCAGACUUGCUACCAUAGCAUUAUUAAGAACACAAGAAGCGCUAUUCUGGAGCAAAACAAAAGCCAUCUAUUCCAGAUGUCCAUAGGAAGCCCAUAAGAAGGUCAGGAUCGCAGCAUCAUUUGCCUGCAACCUGUGUUCAGAAACACUAUCGGAGCUAAGCAGGUGUGGGCCUGGUCAGCACUCUAGAUGGGAGACCAUAUGUAAGUUACUCUAAGCUUAUCAUGUAAAGAGAUACUAUAUCUCUGUGAGUAGUAAAACAAAUAAAUCCUUAUUAUUCUAAA